CGUGUUACGGUGAUUGUCGUCGGUACAAACGCGCGACGAACAACGUGUACGGUCCAAUAACCGCGAAUCAAAACAUAAAACAACGAACAUAAACGUGUGACGCUCCGUGAAAAUCAAUACUUUAAUAGUUGGAAAUUUUUAACAUUAAUUUUAGUUCGAAGUUUCUCCGUGGUUUCGUACGCGUGUGUUUUUUCGUAUCGUUUGUAUCGUUUAUAUACAUACAUAAUUCGCGUGAUAUCUCGUUCGAAUGAAGACUUUACUUGACGAAUGACCGUGUUUUUUGAAUAUAAUUCGCUUCCUUUUUGAUCGACGAAGGAGGCUUUUCGAUCGGAGAAGAAAAGAGACUAGCUUCUUUGGUCUAGUGGGAAGAAGGAUGGAAGGAAAACAGCGCGUGUGACGCCGAACGUAUCGUAUGUGGUCCACAAUGAACAGUUUCACCAAGUGUCCGUAAACUCUGCUCUGGCUCUUGCACGACAACCGAAUCGAAGAUCCAUCGUGGCUCUAUCGACAGAAUCAAAGCGAAGAUUUUGCAUUUCGAAGGUGGUACGAUGACCUUGCAAGAAGCGGAAGGCUCGCGAUCGAUGGUGAUCGAGGGAACUCGCGACUCAUCGACGACUGGUCCGUGUGUCAGCAGGUUGUCGAAACCUUUGAUAAUUCGAUUGUCUAAUCUCGCAACGACACGUUGACCAUGACGUGGGAAAGGCGUGCGAUCGUCGGCACGUUGGUUGGUCGCUUAACGAGGACGAAGAAAGCUCGUCGAGGGAAAAAAGGGAUUGUCUAGAGGUCCCUAGUAAUUGGAUACCUGCGAUUUACAGGCAACGGAAAUAGAGAGAAAAAGGGGGAGAGAGAGAGAGAGAGAGAGAGAGAGAGAGAGGAAGAGAAAGUGACAUUUCCAGAGAAUAAUCGCUCGUGUCUCCAUCGAGCGAUUUAGGAAGGUUCGAUUGACGGCUAGUCGGCUGGAACAACGUGGGACCAUCCGGAACAGUGAGCACACUGAGCACCGAAAUGAAGCUCGGGGAUAAUAUAACGAUGGAAGCGUACAACAUAUGGGGCGACGUUCCUGCGCGAAAAUGUCGGCCACCGAAGAUCGGCGACAUCCCAAAACACAGCGCGAUCGACGAAGAGUCCCCAAGCUCGAUCACCAAGUCGUUGACAGUGGCCACGCCGUCUCCGAGGGACGCCUCACUCGACGAUCCUCUGGGUACUUCCACAAACAUCAAACAAAUUUUCCCAUUACACUCCAGCGCUUCGACCGACCAAUAUUCUUCGAUCCGAAGAUUCGAAACAAAAGCCAACGACCCCAUUAGGCUCCAAUAUCCACAGAUAAAAGGAGACUCUCAAUCUCCAAACAUCGUCAAGAAAUCCUCUUGUUUCCCAGAACAGACCACUCUACCAAUCGACAACUUAGGUCUACUAAAAAAAUCGCCACAUUUAGACAAAUUAAAUGACCUGGACAGACAACUACCAGAAGGAUUCGCAGAUUUGGAAAGCAAAGUGACCAUCAAGUUACCUUCGGAGGAAGCCACGUUGAAGUCCAUAGGUCGCGAAGAUUCCUUCAAAAUUCCAUCAAGCCCCGAAGAUAUUUCUGAUCAGGAAAUCGUUGAGGUUAGAAAGGACAGUGCUCUGUUCCUGGAGGAACCUGAAGGUCUGCCGACUCUUCGAGAGAUCCUUAGGUCUAGGAGUGCAAAGAUCGUCAGACCUAGAAGAGAGAGUAGCGGGUACGGAAGCAAUUUGGGAACUUUUGACGAGGAUAGAAGAAACUCGUCGUCCGCGGAUGUUUUGCAAGAUUUGUCGUCGUUUUUGAAAGAGAGACGAAGAUCUUCUACCGGUCCUAAACGGUUGAACUCGAGGGUGAUCUUGGGCAGAGCCGAGGAGAGUUUGGCUAAAGACGGUGAAGUUGGAAGGAUGCCUACGACCGAAGUUCACAGGAAGCUAUCUGGGGCUGGACUCGAGAUGCCGAAUAUCGAGGAGGUUAGGGAAGUUCUUAGGGAUGAGGUUCCUUCCAGACAGGAGAGCUUGGAUAAUCUCUGUAGCUUUGUGAAGAGGGUUAGCUCGGAAGACUUCUCCAUGCGCUGUCGCCUUCUCGGAGAUUCCGCGGAUCAACGUAUCUGCCCAAAAGACACGUCAGGUAUGCCAACCAUCAAACACCAAGACUCGUCAGCCCUCUUCGAUUCUUCUCUCAGCGAUUCGAUCAACCGUCUCUCGAUAUCUCCAAUCUCGAAGAGUCCGACUCAACCAGUCGCACGUUCCACAACGCCAACGUUUCUCAGUUCCAGUCCACGAGACAUCAACAGGCUCACCAAUAAAUCUGACGAGUCUUUUGAUCGAUCAAAAGACACGAACGCUGAAAGGCAUAAAACUGUCGCGUCCAGAGUCAACGAAGAAUCUCAAAAUAAGCUCGUCGCUCUUCAAACCAGAGAGGAAACGGCGCAACGAUCUGUAAAAAACGAUGUCCAAUUCAAUGUUCUUCCACGAUCGAUCAAGAUGUAUCAGUUGUUAUCCACCCAAUCUGAAGAUAGAUCUGAUGGCGAGUUGCAUUUGGACAGGAGAAUAUCGUUUCAAAUUUCAAAGCAGGAAGACGUGGCUGCAACAAUGAUGUCAUCGGCGGUAUCAAUGAACGCGUCUCUGAACAAGUCUUCGAGCGUCUUCACGUUGAAAAGCAGCGUUUCUGGAGAUAAUCAGACAUUGACGUCCGGCGAAGCAGUUGACAGCUGCAACGCGAGGAAGGCAGUUUCACCUGGAGAAAUUGGGACGACUCAAAGGUUUCUUGGGGAUAGUGGAAACGUGUCUGCGAGACCUAUUUAUCCGUACUGUCCUUACUCGCCCUAUGGGAGUCCUCAGGGAAGUCCCAGGAAUAGGAGGAGACCUUUGAGAGAGAGUAGGAGAGUUUCUAUCGAUAACAGGCAGGGAGCUCUUCAGCUCAAUCAGUAUAAAUUGUUGGAUAAUAUUGGCCAGGGUUCCUACGGGAUCGUAAAACUAGUUUACAACGAGGAGGACGAGACUCACUACGCGAUGAAGAUUCUCAGCAAGAAGAAACUGAUGAAGAAGGCGGGAAUCUUCGGUAGAAUGGCUCCGGGGAAGAAGGGUGCGGCUAACCCUUUGGCGAAGGUCUACAGGGAGAUCGCGUUGUUGAAGAAAUUGGAUCACCUAAAUGUCGUGAAACUGGUGGAGGUUCUCGACGAUCCGGACGAGGACAACCUUUACCUUGUUUUCGAAUUGGUCCAGAGGGGCGAGGUACUUCAGGUACCUACCGAUAAACCACUCGACGAGGAAACUGCCAGGAAGAAUUUUCGUGACGUUGUAAUGGGCGUCGAGUAUCUGCACUACCAGAGGAUAGUCCAUCGUGACAUAAAGCCGAGCAACCUGUUGGUAGAUAGCGACGGUCGCAUCAAGAUCGCGGAUUUAGGUGUCAGCGCGGAACUGAGAGCAUCCGGAGAAUUAUUGUCCGGACCAGCCGGGACUCCAGCGUUCGCGGCACCCGAAACAACCACGCCUGGCGCCCAUUAUUCUGGGACGUUAUGUGACGUAUGGUCAAUGGGCGUCACACUCUACUGUUUAGUGACCGGAAAAAUCCCUUGGGAUGGCGCUGGGAGUAUAAUUGGUGUCCAAGCGGCGGUACGCAGCGAGCCGUUAAAAUUUCCGGAAAAACCCGUCGUUUCGGAAAAUCUUCGUGAAUUGAUCGCGAAAAUGCUGGCGAAAAACCCAGCUGAGAGAAUCAAGUUAUCAGAUAUCAAGGAACAUGCCUGGCUGACCAAUUGUGGCGCUGAACCACUGCCAAGCGAGGCUGACAACUGUCGACUUCCGGUUACUGUUACAGACGAAGAAGUAGAACGAGUGGUCACAAGGAUACCCAAACUCGACACGUUGAUUCUUAUCAAAACUAUGUUGAAACAGCACAGUUUCCAAAAUCCCUUCCUGCCGAAGAAAAGUGGGAAAACAGCGGGUACCGAUGCAACGGUAGAUAGCAUAGAACUAGCCUCAUCAGGAAGACCUGAGGAGACCUCACCAGGGAGGAAAGCCAUAAGAAAUGCAAAGUCGGAACGAUUUCAAAGAACGGGUAGAAGCAAUUCUGCGCCAGAUUCUUACGAUUGGCAAACAAACGGCAGUUUCAGACAAAUAUCCAUAGACAGUCCUCUGCCUCCGGUGACGGAAGCAUCCAGCCAAGAAACGGAGGUCGAAAAACGGUGAUAUCUUUAAACAAAUCGGAUCAACACGUCGAAGGAAACCACGAUCAACCAAUCGGUUGAUGAACACGGUAUGAGCCGACUUAACAUUCGAUGAUGUAGUAAAAUUGUUAACUAGUGCAAGAUUCAUAUUUAUAUUUUCAACUUGGAACGUUUCUUUAGGAUUUUGAAUAGCUAAAAAUUAUUCAAAAAAUUUCUUUCGAUAGUCGUUGUUCCAAAAUAUUUUAAUGGCACAAUUUUACAUAAAUUUAAAAAAACAGCGAAAGUCUUGAAAUAACUUGGAAACAGCUACUUUUCGCGAGGACAGUUCGUUUCAAAAACAACGUGUCGCGAAUAUUAAAAAUUAUAAAAUUAUUUGUCGAUCAUGUACCAAAGCCGAUUACUCAGCUGUACGAUUUAGAGUCGACAGACGGCCUGUUUAGAGGCGGCGUCCAUUUGCGAAUUCGCCUUAAACUCGCCAGACGGUACUUCCUCGAUUUGUGAAACCUGAAAGUAACGAAUUUAGAAAUAACUCGUUGCUACAGUUCGAAAACAGCUGGAGAAAAGACAAGCUGAAAUUAAUUUAAGGAAACGCUAUGAAACUGUCAGCGUAGACGGUCAAAUUAACGAGAAUAAAAACCAGGUUGGACUAUUCUCGGCUGAACCAAAUUUUCGAACGUAGAUGUAAGAAGGAACUUAAAUAUAUGAUAAAUAUAUUUUUAAUUGUCUGUUAACCUCUUCAGAUGACUUUCAUUUCUAGUCUUUAAAUAAAUAUGGUAUUGUAAAACAUUUUUAAAAUACUAAUUAUCUCCUGUGUGCUUUUGGAAUGUUAUAAAAUAUUUACAAAAUUAUUUCCGUUUGGUUUAAUAAAUAGCAAAUAACUAGGAUACUGCAAAAUAUUCUUAUAUGAAUAUUUAUGUAUUUGAAAUAUUAUUGGAAAUAUUUUCAAAGUUAUAUUUUUUUAAAAUCUGGAUCACCAUGAUCGGUGAUGAUACUUCAUUGCGAUUUAAAUUAAAAUUCUCUAAAUCUUGUUUUGCAUUUUUCGGUGAUUUUAAUCGACUAAGUUUGAGGAAUACAAUUGGAUUUAAUAAUUAGUUUAUUUUAACAAAUUAAUUCACACACUAUAUUUCAUUAAACUAAUUUUUAAGAUAAGAAAAUUAACUCAAUGGUACAAGAGAUUUCUGAAAUUGAAAAAGUUUUUCUCAUUUAUACUUCCAAUUAAAAAAUAGGAAGUUCGUUUAAAUUAUAAAGGACUUGGUCUGAAGAUGUUAACGAGACACUUGGAAGCCAGAUGGCGUUUUACUUACGAACUUUAACUAAUUGUAAGUAGCGUUAGGUAGAGGGCGAACUUUGCCAGCUGAAUGCUGAUAGAAUUAACCGUAUUUUCUAUCCACGUUAGAACGUAAGGGGCUCGAAAGAAUAGCCUGUUGAGACAACGACAUCGUUUUAGACUCACGUUAUCACGAGAAUGGAACACUGAUUCUCAGCGAGCUUUUUUAUUUCUAUCCUUCUGUGAUGUAAUCGGGCACAUUUUCGUACUUCUACGUGAUUUAAGCGAUUCGAUAAAGAUCUUUUUCGUAACACACGGUUUAGGUAUUAACGUUUCCAAAAAAAAGAUUGUAAUUCUAUGUUCGUUUUAACCUCUAUUCGUUACGAGGAUGACAGUUCCUUUACGUAUUCAUAUUUAAGUUCUAUAAUUUGUAGUUCGCUUUUGUGUAUAUAUGUAUCCUCGAAAAAUUCAACGCGGAAUCGGGAAGAACGAUCGUGCGAUCUUUUAACGAAAAUCAUAGCACGUUAAUCCUCCUGUGUUAUUUGGGCCAUUUUCGACCGAGCAUUGUGUUCUUCUAUCGUUAAAAAAUGUUUGAUUUUGAGAAAAUUGAGAUGGAACCAUUAUUAAUACCUGGAAGAAUUCGAUGAUUGCGGUAGAAUUAAUACACAGAACAUCUCAGAAGCAUGAUCAUAUAGCAUAGUAAUAUUAAAUUUAAUGAAAUUGAAAGUACCCCUUAAAAUUAUAUCACUUUACCUAAUGUAAUCAGCUGAUCGUAAGUUCUAACCUCGAAUCGCAAGAUCGUCUUUCCUAGCCCAAGUAAAACGAAGCCACGAACAAAUUGAUGUGACCUGUAUAUAAAAAGAAACUUAAGUCUCGCGGAUAGUGCGAAGCACGCGACCAAGCGAACGUAACCAAAGUCAGAUUCGUGAUUUCGUUGGACCUUACUGAUAUCCGGGGGACCACAAAUGUGUAUUUGAAUUUAAUCGAUAACCGUCGAACCUCACGACCGGAUACACUCGAUGAUCAUAUCAUGUCCUGAUCUCACGAAUUCUCCUGAAACGACAGGAUUCACAAACAUGCCCAUGUUGGCGACUAGACAUCCGUUUCCUGGUGUUAUCAACGUUUAUCAGUAGGCUGCGGAUUUUUAUGCAUUUAUGGGCAAUGUGAACAUACAAAAGUACACAGAAUGCACGUAAAACAUACAAAAAUACAUAUAAUAUAUAAAAUAUAUAAAUAACUGUUAAUAAUAAUACCCGUUGUUUAAUAAAAGAAAAAAAAAUAAUUCUGCUGGAACUCUUAGCUCCCAUUUUUUCAAUGAUAUUCAUAAAAAUAUGAAUUUGUAUAAAUAUUCGCAGUCUAUUUAUUAGCAAGUAACAGUAGCUGUAAGAGCAAAACGACGUCAAUAGAUCGUCUACCGAUGGCUAAUAUUUCAUUUAUUCGUAAAAUUUUGAAAUAAUCUGUAGUGCAGUAUAUAUUUUUAUAAAUAGAUAGAAGAUUGUGACGAAGAAAGUAAAGCCACUUAAAAUUGUAAAAUAUCUGUUUCGAUGAUAUUAGUUGAUAUAGAGGAUGUUUCAUAACUGUGAGGCAAAAUGGAUGACGAAUUGUUUGUAUUUAAAGAGUUAAACUUCAGAUCGCGCUGCAUUCGUACUAAGAAGAAUCUCAAAGGAAGACAUGUGGUGCAUCGGUAGGCCUUCUGCGUCUAAUUGUUACGGGUAUGUGUAUCAUAAAAAGACUAGAAUCUUAUAUUUACGAUAUUUCUGAUGGUAUGUAAUAUUUUGAGCUGAAGAAUUUCAUCCAAUCUUACUCUAAACACAAUUUGCUUUCUAUGUAUCAAAGCUUACACUUUCUUCCAUCUUGAUUCUGCCCUAAAAAAUUUUUGAAAUUUUACCUCAAAGCAUGAUGUAGUAAUCUAAAAGCGAAACAAAAAAAAGACACAAAAGAAGAUAAGAAUUUUCAUCAUUAUCUCCUCGUGCUUAGAGAAUUUCGAUUUAGAAUAUUUACAAAUUUUUCACUGAUCUCGAAUAAAAAUAUUACGUAUCCCCAGAAAUAUUUCUCGGACCGUCCCGUCGUCGAUAAAAAUCUCCUAAACGUUAUUCAAUGGCUCAGGUUUCGAUGACAUUUUUACCCACGGCGGUACACUUUCGUAUAUGAUAAUGGAUGUAUCUCACACGUUACGAAUAUUCUUAUGAAAUGCACAAGAUAUUUUGUACUUCGUAUUAGAUGCGCACUAUGUUUCUUAAUCUACUUAUAAUAAAAUAAACCAAAUCACGUGUAAAGUAGGAUUGGCCCUCAAUUGACAGUCAAUUUCACUCGACGAGUUAGAUUCCCAAACAAAAGCAAUGAAAAUAUCCAGUAAUUCAUUUAGAGACAGCUAAAUAGCUUAUAAUCUGAAACAGAUAAAUCUCGAAAUCUUUGAAAGUCUAAUCUAAAUAGAGUAAAUCGUACAUUUUCCAUUUGAGAACGAGAAUAUUUCAAACGAUCGUCAUAAAUUGGCCAAUUGAGGGAUCGAUUAUCGACGAUCGUGUUCGUGAUCAAUGUCUAACGCGAAACGAGAGAAAAAUCGAUCGUUGAAGCCGCGAGAGGUCGUUAACUGACGCUGUGACCAAAUCCAACAUGGCGAUUCAAGUGUAGCGAGAGUUGGCUGACGUUUUCGACUAGUGUAUUGAUUUUCUCGACAAUCAAUCUCACUGAUGAUUUUGGUUCGUUAAUUUUAAUAGACGAAAGAAAAAACAGUCGGUCGGUCAGAAGUGAUUACGUUUAGUCGUCUACUGCCAUAAUAUUGACCAGUGAAGACGAGCAAGGAGCGAAAGUUGAAGUGAUGUCAGAGGGGUAAGACAUUUCUUUUUCUUACCAACAAUAUUUGUCCGAAAACGAAUUCCAUGUCGCACUUUUCGUCACGUUGGCUUCUGGAAAUAGUCUGAGGAAAGCUCUAGUUGAAGCGAUCUUUCGUGCCAGUUUGAGGUUAGAGGACCACCAAAACCUCGAAUGUUACCCAUCCUAGACCUAAUUAGAGGAUUAGAAUGAAAAUUGCGUGGAAGAACAACUAACCAGUCGUUUAAAAAGUUACGGUAGAUCAGUUUCUCACAUUUAUUAAUUCUCUUUUGACUUGUAGAAUUCCUAAAUGAAGUAGCAUGUUUUUGGGUAAUUAGGAGGCAAUUUGAAGCUGAUUUCGAAGAUUGGGGACUUUGAAAUCUUUUUUUUACUACAAUUUUUAGAUCAAUUUUUUAAUACGGAAACUAAGUUUCAAUAAGAAGAAUUAUCAGUUUCAGACUUGGUGGUUGAGUGGAGAACCAAGUUUCAGAUAGCCAACAAGUAAUUGAGAACUUAAUAAUUUCCAUGAUUGAAGAAAUUGUACAGUAACCAUGAGAUAUUGAAAAUUACACAUGAAACUUUGGACCUAUUGAUUGCACUAAGUCAAGGUAAACAGAGAAAGUGUUUCUUCAAUGAUUUUUCAAAUAGAUAAUCCUUCCAAAAUACCAGAAAGUUAUCGGUAAUUCUACAAUGUUUUUUGUUCCAUAGAAAUCAACAGUUAAGUACAAACAGUUUCAUAAUUAGAGUAGAUUUUCUAAGGGAGAUAAAGAAACAGAUAAAGAAAUGUUUCAUCAAUAUGCUGCAGAUGUUGAUGGAUUUAUAGAAAAUCUCAAAAUUCAGAAACUAUAAAGAUAUAAAAUAUGCAAAAUUAUUCAUUAUAAUAAUAGCUACAGGUUCCAUUAAAGCUGAAAUAAUAAACUUUAUGAAUGAAAUAAGCUGCCAUUCAAUUUUCAUAUCUUUUGGUAUGUUCACAAAGAUAUAAAUUUGCUUAAAUACCCGCUGUCUACCUAUAAAUGAGUACGUGCAGAAUUCAUUAUAUACUUCAGAAGUAUACUUGGAAUUAUGUUACGAAUGUCAGGAUUCCACCACGAUUAUUGUAACGGAAAGCAUUGUAAG